CCUCCACUGACCAUCUAGCGACCUCCACCUAAUACAUGCAAGUCGAGCGAACAGACGAGGAGCUUGCUCCUCUGACGUUAGCGGCGGACGGGUGAGUAACACGUGGAUAACCUACCUAUAAGACUGGGAUAACUUCGGGAAACCGGAGCUAAUACCGGAUAAUAUAUUGAACCGCAUGGUUCAAUAGUGAAAGACGGUUUUGCUGUCACUUAUAGAUGGAUCCGCGCCGCAUUAGCUAGUUGGUAAGGUAANNGCNUACCAAGGCNACGAUGNGUAGCCGNCCUGAGAGGGUGAUCGGCCACANUGGNACUGAGACACGGUCCAGACUCCUACGGGAGGCAGCAGUNGGGAAUNUUNCNCAAUGGGCGAAAGCCUGACGGAGCAACGCCGCGUGAGUGAUGAAGGUCUUCGGAUCGUAAAACUCUGUUAUUAGGGAAGAACAAAUGUGUAAGUAACUAUGCACGUCUUGACGGUACCUAAUCAGAAAGCCACGGCUAACUACGUGCCAGCAGCCGCGGUAAUACGUAGGUGGCAAGCGUUAUCCGGAAUUAUUGGGCGUAAAGCGCGCGUAGGCGGUUUUUUAAGUCUGAUGUGAAAGCCCACGGCUCAACCGUGGAGGGUCAUUGGAAACUGGAAAACUUGAGUGCAGAAGAGGAAAGUGGAAUUCCAUGUGUAGCGGUGAAAUGCGCAGAGAUAUGGAGGAACACCAGUGGCGAAGGCGACUUUCUGGUCUGUAACUGACGCUGAUGUGCGAAAGCGUGGGGAUCAAACAGGAUUAGAUACCCUGGUAGUCCACGCCGUAAACGAUGAGUGCUAAGUGUUAGGGGGUUUCCGCCCCUUAGUGCUGCAGCUAACGCAUUAAGCACUCCGCCUGGGGAGUACGACCGCAAGGUUGAAACUCAAAGGAAUUGACGGGGGCCCGCACAAGCGGCGGAGCAUGUGGAUUAAUUCGAUGCAACGCGAAGAACCUUACCUGGGCUUGACAUACACUAGAUCGCUGCAGAGAUGUAGUUUCCCUUUGUGGUUGGUGUACAGGUGGUGCAUGGUUGUCGUCAGCUCGUGUCGUGAGAUGUUGGGUUAAGUCCCGCAACGAGCGCAACCCUUGUCUUAUGUUGCCAGCAUUUGGUUGGGGACUCAUGAGAGACUGCCGGGGUUAACUCGGAGGAAGGUGGGGAUGACGUCAAAUCAUCAUGCCCCUUAUGUCCAGGGCUUCACACAUGCUACAAUGGUCGGUACAACGCGCUGCGACACUGUGAGGUGGAGCGAAUCGCUGAAAGCCGGCCUUAGUUCGGAUUGGGGUCUGCAACUCGACCCCAUGAAGUCGGAGUC
rnacentral:rRNA from 1 species